UCUGGUGUCAGCCGCCGCGGUAAUACCAGCUCUCCGAGUGGUGUGGAUGUUUAUUGGGCUUAAAGCGUCCGUAGCUGGCUCAACAAGUCCUCUGUUAAAUCCAGCGAUUUAAUCGUCGGACUGCAGGGGAUACUGUUGGCUAGGAGGCGGGAGAGGCCGACGGUAUUCUCGGGGUAGGGGUGAAAUCCUAUAAUCCCGGGAGGACCACCAGUGGCGAAGGCUGUCGGCUAGAACGCGCUCGACGGUGAGGGACGAAAGCUGGGGGAGCGAACCGGAUUAGAUACCCGGGUAGUCCCAGCUGUAAACUAUGCGGGCUAGGUGUCGGUGUGGCUACGAGCCACUCCGGUGCCGCAGGGAAACUCAUAA
rnacentral:rRNA from 1 species